AAUGAACGCUGGCGGCAGGCCUAAUACAUGCAAGUCGAGCGCUCUAGCAGUAGGGAGCGGCGCACGGGUGCGUAACGCGUGGGAAUAUGCCCUGAGGUAAGGAACAACCAAGGGAAACGUUGGCUAAUACCGUAUCAUCUCCUGGGAACAACGAUUCAUCGCCUAAAGAGUAGCCCGCGUCUGAUUAGCUUGUUGGUGGGGUAAAGGCCUACCAAGGCGACGACCAGUAGCUGGUCUGAGAGGAUGAUCAGCCACACUGGAACUGAGACACGGUCCAGACUCCUACGGGAGGCAGCAGUAAGGAAUAUUGGACAAUGGGGGAAACCCUGAUCCAGCCAUGCCGCGUGAGUGACGAAGGCCUUAGGGUUGUAAAGCUCUUUUGGUGGGGAAGAUAAUGACUGUACCCACAGAAUAAGCCCCGGCUAAAUUCGUGCCAGCCGCCGCGGUAA
rnacentral:rRNA from 1 species